AUACGUAGGUGGCAAGCGUUGUCCGGAUUUAUUGGGCGUAAAGCGAGCGCAGGCGGUUUCUUAAGUCUGAUGUGAAAGCCCUCGGCUCAACCGGGGAGGGUCAUUGGAAACUGGGAGACUUGAGUGCAGAAGAGGAGAGUGGAAUUCCAUGUGUAGCGGUGAAAUGCGUAGAUAUAUGGAGGAACACCAGUGGCGAAGGCGGCUCUCUGGUCUGUAACUGACGCUGAGGCUCGAAAGCGUGGGGAGCAAACAGGAUUAGAUACCCUGGUAGUCCACGCCGUAAACGAUGAGUGCUAAGUGUUGGAGGGUUUCCGCCCUUCAGUGCUGCAGCAAACGCAUUAAGCACUCCGCCUGGGGAGUACGGCCGCAAGGCUGAAACUCAAAGGAAUUGACGGGG
rnacentral:rRNA from 1 species